AUGCCGUGAUGGGGACAUCUUCUUAGCAACUCCUUGAACCUCUCCCAAGAAUCAUAUAAAGAUUUACCAUCCAACUGAUAGAAAUUAUUGAUCUCCCAUCUCAAUUU